rnacentral:rRNA from 1 species
GCACGAAAGGCGUAAUGAUUUGAGCGCUGUCUCAACAAUGCACCCGGUGAAAUUGAAAUACCAGUGAAGAUGCUGGUUACCUGCGCCAGGACGGAAAGACCCCAUGGAGCUUUACUCCAGCUUGAUACUGGGAUUCGGUAUUGCAUGUACAGGAUAGGUGGGAGGCCGUGAAGAGAGGACGCCAGUCUUCUUGGAGCCACUGUUGGGAUACCACCCUUGUGAUACUGGAUUUCUAACCAGCCACCGUGAUCCGGUGGUGGGACAAUGUCAGGUGGGGAGUUUGACUGGGGCGGUCGCCUCCGAAAGGGUAUCGGAGGCGCUCAAAGGUUCCCUCAGAAUGGUUGGAAACCAUUCAAAGAGUGCAAAGGCAUAAGGGAGCUUGACUGCGAGACCGACGGGUCGAGCAGGUACGAAAGUAGGACUUAGUGAUCCGGUGGUAUGAAAGUGGGAUUGCCAUCGCUCAACGGAUAAAAGCUACCCUGGGGAUAACAGGCUUAUCACUCCCAAGAGUUCACAUCGACGGAGUGGUUUGGCACCUCGAUGUCGGCUCAUCGCAUCCUGGGGCUGAAGUAGGUCCCAAGGGUUGGGCUGUUCGCCCAUUAAAGCGGUACGCGAGCUGGGUUCAGAACGUCGUGAGACAGUUCGGUCCCUAUCCGGCGCGGGCGUAGGAUAUUUGAGAGGAGCUGUCCUUAGUACGAGAGGACCGGGAUGGACUGACCUCUGGUGUAUCUGUUGGGUAUCAAACCCAUGGCAGAGUAGCCAAGUCGGGACGGGAUAAACGCUGAAGGCAUCUAAGCGUGAAGCCCCCCUCAAGAUGAGAUAUCCCAUCGCAAGAGUAAGACCCCUUGAAGACGACGAGGUAGAUAGGGCAGAGGUGGAAGCAUGGCAACAUGUGCAGCUGACUGUUACUAAUCGGUCGAGGGCUUAACCAAAA